UUUGGGGAAGACUGGUUAUGUGAGGACAGUCUGGAUUCGUGGUCUGAUGGGCUUAGAAAAUCCAGUCAAAUGGGUUUCUUUGUUACAGAAUUUAUUAAAACUUUCAAUGUAUGUUUCAAAACUCCAAGGAGAUAGAAUGGUGUGCGAUCUCUUCCGAUCAAAUCCUACCCCAAACUCUGUUUCCCUUGAGCCUGGUGUAGGACAGUAUUCCAUAGAACAUCCUGUAAUGAGCCUUGCUUAAUUGAGGCAUUUCAUCCAAAUGACUUCCAGAAAUUUCAAUAUAGAAAAUCUGUCACUGAGCAUGUUCAAAAAAUCAUGCUGUUCCUGUGUAAAUGAUUUCCACCCUAGGCUCUAGAGUGUAAGACAUUGGUGUGGGUAAGUCUAAGAACUCCACUUUCUGUUAAGUAGUGACUUCGGUACCAGUUAAGAAUGGGGGGAGAAGGAUCACAUGCAGCUCUAUCCUCUCCAUCCAGACAUGUCGACCCACAAGGACAAGGAGUCUGGAAAGCAGAGACACACACUGUAGCCCAUGUUUGCCAGGGGGCCCCUGCAGAGAAGAGAGUUGGCGAGGCCCUCAUGGCCCAGGAAGCCCAGGGUCACCCCCUAGAGGCAGAGGUGAAAUGUGGAACCCCCUAGAGGGUUCCACCUCCUAGAGGAACUGAAGGCUGGCUGAAGUUCCCAUCGCCCUCUAAAGCCCUCUCCUCCUCCUGUCAGUCUCCAGAACAUUUCCCCAGGAAACAUUCAAGCCAAGUGAUUUCCAGUUCUUUGCCACCAAUAAAAUGGAAGCUGGAUGUGACCGAGUUGUCAUGGUAUAGAACACUAAAAAUAAACUUUGAGACUGAAUUGCUGUGCAAUUUUUAGCAUGUGACUUGGACGAGGUUGAAAGAAUCAAUGACAUUGCUCUAUCAAAACUGCUUCCAACUCCAUCUACUUCUUUAUGUGAGUGAGAUUUCUUGGCACUUAAAUCUAUACAAAUACAAACAGGGAUUAAAAUUCAUGUUGAACUCUGGCUCAUUCUAUACAAUAGUAAUAUUCAUCUGUGGAUACUUAAAAUAACUGAAAAACAGUUUUUACCCAUGUUAUUUUCUGUAAAAUAUUAUCUUAAUGUGUAUAAAAAUUUUUAAGCAUUGAGGAAUGUUUUGUGAUAACUGGAAACAAAAACACUUAUAAUUUCGAUAUGUACGUGCAUGCAUGUAUUCUUUUUGCAGAAAGGCACAAUAGGAUGAGAAAUGAUUUUCAAAUGCAAACACAGAAUGAAACUUUGUGAGGGACUUGGACUAGUAACACCAGGUCAAGGAAAAAAAGGAACAAUGUGAAAUUUCUGACUCCAAAAGGAGAAAUGGUUCUUGUAUUUUAUUUUUUAAAUAUUUUAUUUAUUUAUUUGAGAGAGAGAGAGAGAAAGAGAGAGAGCAUGAACUGGGGGAGGGGGAGAAGGAGAAGCAGACUCCCUGCUGAACAGGGAGAUCAACGCGGGGCUCGAUCCCAGGACCCUGAGAUCAUGGCCUGAUCCCAAGGCAGACACUUAACCGACUGAGCCACCCAGGUGCCCAAGGUUCUUGUAUUUUAUUAUUUUAUUAUUUUUUAAGAUUUUAUUUAUUUAUUCAUACGAGAUACAGAGAGAGAGAGAGAGAGAGGCAGAGACACAGGCAAAGGGAGAAGCAGGCUCCAUGCAGGGAGCCUGAUGUGGGACUCGAUCCCAGGUCUACAGGGUCACACCCUGGGCCAAAGGCAACACUAAACCACUGAGCCACGCGGGCUGCCCAGGUUCUUGUGUUUUAAACAUGGGUGAUCAUAGCUAUCAAAUUGUGUGGAUAUUCUAGUGGAUGUACUUAAGAGAAUGAUGUCAUGAUUUUGUGUGAAAUUUUAUUUUGCAGCCAUUUAAAGGUAUAACAAAAAUUGUAGAAAGCAACUUAAAAAGGUGUGGGCAGAUACAUGGUUUUUCAAAGUCCUUGCAGGAGAUUACAUGAACAAGAUAUUUUAAGAUUAUCCUUUUUAAAAAAAAAAAAAGAUUUAUUUACUUAUUUGAGAGAGUGUGCAUGUGCAAGCAUAGGGAGGGUGAAGGGAGAAGGAGAGAGAAACUUUAGCAGACUUCUCACAGAGCUCAGAGCCCAACACAAGGCCUGAUCUCACGACCCCAGUAUCAUGACCUGAGCUGAAACCAAGAGUUAGACCCUUAACCGACUGAGCUACCAGGGGCCCCAAGCUUACCCUUCUUAAACAGCAUAAUGUCUUAUUUUUUCAGCUCAUGUGCAGGUUACCAAUUGCUGUGUAGGAAAUCACCCCAAACUGGAUGGCAUAAACAACGACUUUAUGCUAUGCUAUUAUAUAUAUAUUGCUAUAUAUAUAUAUAUAUAUAUAUAUAUAUAUAUAUAUAUAUAUAUAUAUAAUUUUUCUUACAGUUCUGGGGUUGACUGGACUUCGCCAGGUGUUCUCACUCAGGAUCUUGCGUGCAGUUGUGGUCAGAUGGUGGGAGUGUCUGGAGGCCUCUCAAGGGUUUUCUCACUCCAUGUGUCUAGUGGGUGACAGGUGUAGUGUCAGCCGAGAUGGCAGCUGUUGCUGGCAACACCUACACGUGGUCUCUCUCUGCAUCUUGGGCUUCCUCACAAAAUGACAGCUACAUACCAAGGGUGAAUGUCCUGAGUCUGAGGGAGAGAAAAAGAGAGAGAGGGUGAGAGAAAACUAGGGCAAGUUGUAUGAGCUUUUAUGAACUAGCCUUGGAAUUCACAGAGCAUCCCUUCCAUUGCAUUCACAAUGGCCAGCCCAGGUUCCAGGGCAGGAGACAGACUCCACCCCAUGCUGUUGGAGUGGCAAGGUUCUAGAAGAGCAUGUGGGAUCAGAAAUAUUUUUGCAGCCUUUCUGGAAAAUACAAAAAAACUACCACAGAUUGCUGUGCGGGUCAGGAAGGGAAAUACUCUGCUGUGAUACCAUCAAGGCAGAAGACAGGUGGACAAAUAGCUCUGCUGUAUGCUGGCUGCAUCCCAGCCUGAUCUCAGAGGACCGAUCUACUUCCAGGGCAGGAGGAUUCCAGAUAGCACGCUGGAGCUGAAAGGAUCCGUCACCUUGCUUCUGCUGGUGCUGACAGCUGGUCAGGGCCUGGCGGUAGGAGGCUGAAGCGCUCGCUGCCCACUGCUCUCCCGUGGGCCUGACAUCAGCUCUGUGCUCCACGAGGCUUCCACCAGCUGGCUGCCAUGUCGGGAGCAGCCCUAUGGAGAAGCCCAUGUGUUAAAGAACUGAAAGACCUUUGGCCAAAACAGCCAGUGAGGAACAGAGACUUACCUCAACCACGUGAGUCUGAAGCUGAUCCCCCAGCAUGGUGAAGCCUUGAGCCAGAACCACCCAAGUAAGCCACACCUGAUUCCUGACCCUCCUAAGCUGUACAAGUGCUUCUGGAGGAUUUUUUGAGACAUGAAAGUUUGAAGGAAUGUGUGAGUUUUUAAGAACUUACUUCCAGAACCAAUGGAACUCAUUUAGAAGCCUGUGUAAAAUACGUCUUACGGCAUUGUCUCUAGGUGGAAGCUUACUUCAUAUAAUCAGUCAUAUAUGUGGAAAUACAGACUGCUCUCCUCUGCUCACAGCAGUGGGGAGGAGACAGAACAGGAAGACAUUUCUGGGCCUCCUCGUAGAGAUUUUCUUUGCUGCCUGCUGGUGGGACGCAUGACAGAUGACAGAUCCCUGGGCACACAGAGCGGUGUCUCCUCUCAGCGGGGGCAAAGGCAGCUGAGCCGGGUGAGGAAGGAGAGUCCAGCCAUGCUACAGGUCAAGGUAAACCUGGACGGAGGGACAGGAUGCCAAGCAACAUGGGAGGAGGCCAGAGCCUUUGGAGAAAAGAACAUCUCUCUAACAUACCAAUGGUGAGAGUUUCCAAAUACAGAGUGCAGUCCUGUGCCCGUCACUCAGCUGUGACACUAGCAGCGUUCUGCUGUGCUUGUCUCAUCUGACUUGCUCUCUUUUCCUUUUUUUCUGGAGUAUUUUAGAGCAAUUCUCAGAUGUCAUGUCACCUUGCCUGUAAAUACUUCAGGAUGCAUCUUAAAAGGCAGGGCCAUGAUCCUAGGUAACAUCACAUCAACAACUAAUUCUGAUGCCUAGUGUUCGUUCAGAUGUCUCCCACUGUCUAAAACAAUUGCCUGCUUAGAGUUUGGGAAGCUGAACAAGACCUAUUCAUGACACUUGACUGUUAUAUUUCUCAAGUUGUAGUCAAGGGUAGCUUUCCCCAACCCCCACCCCUCUCCUCCCCAGGUGCCCGACUUUAAUGCCACCCAUGUGUUCACAAAGCUGGGUCAGUUGUUCUGAGGAAGCCUCCAUCCUGGACUUCUGACAGUUUCCCAUUUCACCUGCUCUCCCCUGUUUCCCACAGGCAAGAAGUUAGAUCUAGAGGCUUUAUGUUAUUUCAAACUGGGUCAUUGAAAAAAAAGUUUUCCUAAAAAUAUUUCACGAGGGAUGCUGUGUACUUCUGAUGGUAGCACGCCAGGGCGCAUCUCACGGUCCUUUGUCUGGAUUUGUAGUGACCGACUCAGAGGUUCAAGUAAGCAUUUCCUUAUAAACAGCCUGAUCAUGUCACUAUAAAGUCCCCCAUCAAUUUUUCACGUAAUGAUUUUGCUAAACAUCAAUCACCACUGCCUGCCUCAGCAGCCACAUUCGUUAUCACACAUUGCAGUCUUUUCGUUCAUUGUGAUGUUAGGGACUGCAGAAUGGUGGGUUGCUAAUUUUGUCUUUCUCUUCUGGUUAUCUGACAUACAGCUCAUACUGGGAAGGCAGGACAAAAACUAUUUUAUUUUUUUACUGAGAGAGGGAGAGAGAGAGAGAGAGAGAGAGAGAAUCCUAACCAGGCUCCAUGCCCAGAGAAUGAGCCUGACAUGUGGCUCUAUCUCAUGACUCUGAGGUUAUGACCUGAGUUGAAGUCAAGAGUUGGACACUUAACUGACUGAGCUACCCAGGUGCCUCAGGACAGUUACCUUUUAUUUCCAAUUAUCAAUUUUUUAAAUGAGUCAGUGUUCUGGAAGCUUACCCUGGGACCCAAAAAGUUUUAUUUUAUUUUUGUCUCCUCUUAAUUUUUUGUUUUUAUUUGUACUUCCUGUCCUAGACUGGGAAUCAGCCAUUUCUCCAAAGAGCUCUGCUUGUGUCUGGGAGUUGAUGGUAUUGGAGAACACAAACUAGUGGAAGGGGGUGCUUAUUACUGCUAAGUCAUCAUUGCUUCUUGGCAUUUGCAGUGGAACAUUAAAAAAAUUUUUUAAGAGAAAAAGUGAGUUUCAAUUGAUAAUUACAGUUCAGAGAUAAGAUUUUUGGGCUUUUUCUUUGUUAACUUUUACUUGUAACUAAUUUCUCUUACCCUGAAAAUCUUGGUCCCUGAUACCAUUAAGCAUAAUUAUUUCCUUGCUUACCUUACAAUGUCUAUGUAUCUGUUUAGAAAUAACAGCAUCAAUAUUAUUACUGACAAUAUGACAACUAAAUAAACUUUAUGACUGAUUUCUUU
rnacentral:lncRNA from 1 species